rnacentral:rRNA from 1 species
AUUGAACGCUGGCGGCAGGCCUAACACAUGCAAGUCGCGCGAGCGGCGGACGGGUGAGUAAUGUAUGGUGACUGCCCGAUAGAGGGGGAGAACUACUGGAAACGGUGGCUAAUACCGCAUACUGCCGGACAACCAAUAUGGGAUUAGCUAUGAGGUAAGGUAAUGGCUUACCGAGGCGAAGAUCCCUAGCUGGUCUGAGAUGAUGAUCAGCCACACUGGGACGGAGACACGGCCCAGACUCCUACGGAGGCAGCAGUGGGGAAUAUUGCACAAUGGGCGCAAGCCUGAUGCAGCCAUGCCGCGUGUAUGAAGAAGGCCCUAGGGUUGUAAAGUACUUUCAGUCGGGAGGCGUUACCGACAGAAGAAGCACCGGCUAACUCCGUGCCAGCCGCCGCGGUAAUAC